rnacentral:rRNA from 1 species
AAUAGAUACCCCGGUAGUCCACGCCGUAAACGAUGGAUACUAGCUGUUUGAGCGCAAGUUUGAGUGGCUAAGCGAAAGUGAUAAGUAUCCCACCUGGGGAGUACGGGCGCAAGCCUGAAACUCAAAGGAAUUGACGGGGGCCCGCACAAGCGGUGGAGCAUGUGGUUUAAUUCGAUGAUACGCGAGGAACCUUACCAGGGCUUAAAUGUAGAUUGACGUAUUUGGAAACAGAUAUUUCUUCGGACAAUUUACAAGGUGCUGCAUGGUUGUCGUCAGCUCGUGCCGUGAGGUGUCAGGUUAAGUCCUAUAACGAGCGCAACCCCUGUUGUUAGUUGCCAGCGAGUAAUGUCGGGAACUCUAGCAAGACUGCCAGUGUAAACUGUGAGGAAGGUGGGGAUGACGUCAAAUCAUCACGGGCCCUUACGUCCUGGGCCACACACGUGCUACAAUGGCCGGUACAGAGAGCAGCCACUUAGCGAUAAAGGAGCGAAUCUAUAAAGCCGGUCACAGUUCGGAUCGGAGUCUGCAACG